GCUAGAUGAACUUGGGUGGCUCCUUACAUCUCUUAGCAAGACAGAGAAGGUGAUCAUUAACUUUGAUCAACUGGAGGUCAAAUUCUAGUCAUUCAUUAAAUAAAUAUGGAGGGCCAAUGUUCUUCUCUCCCCUCAUUCACAGGAGGACCCACCACCCCUGACCUCUUAGCUCAUUACAGAGUUGUCACAUAAAUGGGCAAGGGUCUUACAGCUUGUUGCAUCUGCUCCUUGAAUAAGCCGUGAUGUUACAACGGCACCAGCAUCAUCCCUAGUGCUGUUGACACUGCGUAGAGAAGAAUGCUCACUGCAUGCCAGGUGCUGCUCCUGUCAUACUCACAACACUCUAUGAGGUUGGGAACUCCCCUCUGAAGCACCCAAAUCCACCUGCAACCGCCCGCAGGCUGAGGAAGCUGAAGGGGCCCCUUAAAACAGAACCUCUAACAGUCCCCUUUCUUCCAUAAUUUCAUGGUUUGUUUGGAAAACUGCCCAACUAUGACAUUGUAUCAUCUGGUAUAAUACAACGCUGGCUUGGUGAGUGAUUGCUGAAAGGGAAGCUCAUCUUCGUGAACAGCGUAGGAGAUAAAGCGUGAAUUCAAAACCAAGAAAAAUGAGUUUAAAAGUGCCAACUAAUACACAAAUAGGAAUGCGAUGUCACAAGAUAACUUUGAAAACACAAACUCUAUAAGAAGUUAAACAGUGAAAUCCACCCAAUAUCUUGGCAUUCUCUUGGUAGGAUUUGGUGCUGAGGAAAAAUGUGACUCUAAUUUUGCUACAAGAAGAGAUACAUCUUUCCCACACCUCCUUUUGUCCCAGACUUUCAGUGAGACCCUGCUUGUGACUCAGGAGAUCUGGGAUCAAAGCUGUAAACUCUAGCUGCAGCAAUCCUUUUGAGUCUGGUUGAUUUCCCGUACAUGCUAAUGAUCCCUAAAUGAUAUAUUUCAUUUUAUAUUCACAAGGAAUCCCAUUGCCAUAGCAACUGGAAUGUGAUACCAGAAGUUUUCUUGUAAAUGGGUUUAGAAUGCUGCCUCUUCUCCCU
rnacentral:lncRNA from 1 species